rnacentral:rRNA from 1 species
UACGGAGGGUGCGAGCGUUGUCCGGAAUCACUGGGCGUAAAGGGCGCGUAGGUGGCGCGAGUAGUCAACGGUGAAAGCCCGGGGCUCAACCCCGGGUCGGCCGUCGAUACUCUCGUGCUUGAGCACUGUAGAGGCAGGUGGAAUCCCGGGUGUAGCGGUGGAAUGCGUAGAGAUCCGGAAGAACACCGGUGGCGAAGGCGGCCUGCUGGGCAGUAGCUGACACUGAGGCGCGACAGCGUGGGGAGCAAACGGG